ensembl:misc_RNA Metazoa_SRP Metazoan signal recognition particle RNA
GCUGGGCAUGGUGGCGCGUGCCUGUAAUCCCAGCUACUUGGGAGGCUGAGGCAGGAGAAUGACUUGAACCCGAGAGGCAGAGGUUGCAGUGAGCUGAGAUCACGCCACUGCACUCCAGCCUGGGUGACAGAGUGAGACUCUGUCUCAA